rnacentral:tRNA from 1 species
GAGGGUAUAGCUCAAGGGUAGAGUAUGUGUUCAGCAUGCACAAGGUCCUGGGUUCAAUCUUCAGUAUCUCCA